rnacentral:rRNA from 1 species
AGGGCGUAUGGGGAAUGCCUAGGCUCUCAGAGGCGAAGAAGGACGUGAUAAGCUGCGAAAAGCUGCGGGGAAUGGCACAUACAUUGUGAUGCAGAUAUCCGAAUGGGGCAACCCACUAUAUUGAAGAUAUAGUAUCCGCAAGGAAACAAACCCGGGGAACUGAAACAUCUAAGUACCCGGAGGAGAAGAAAACAAAAGUGAUUCCGCUAGUAGUGGCGAGCGAACGCGGAAUAGCCCAAACCAGUGUUGUUACGGCAAUACUGGGGUUGUAGGACUGCGAUAUUGGUUGUGUAAUGAAUUAGAAUCCUUUGGAAAGAGGAACCAUAGAGGGUGAUAGUCCCGUAUAAGUAAAGAUCAUUAACCAUAGCAGUAUCCUGAGUAGUGCGGGACACGUGUAAUCCUGUAUGAAUUUGGCGGGACCAUCCGCUAAGGCUAAAUACUCCUGAGAGACCGAUAGUGAACUAGUACCGUGAGGGAAAGGUGAAAAGAACCCUGAAUAAGGGAGUGAAAUAGAUCCUGAAACCAUACGCUUACAAGCGGUCGGAGCCCUUUGGGGUGACGGCGUGCCUUUUGCAUAAUGAGCCUACGAGUUACCGUUGCUAGCAAGGUUAAGGACUUCAGGUCCGGAUCCGUAGCGAAAGCGAGUCUGAAUAGGGCGCUUUAGUUAGUAGUGGUAGACGCGAAACCGUGUGAUCUACCCAUGGGCAGGUUGAAGCUGUAGUAACAUAUAGUGGAGGACCGAACCCGUUGACGUUGAAAAGUCUUGGGAUGACCUGUGGGUAGGGGUGAAAGGCCAAUCAAACUCGGAAAUAGCUCGUACUCCCCGAAAUGCAUUUAGGUGCAGCGUUGUAUUAGUUUCAUAGAGGUAGAGCUACUGAUUGGAUGCGGGGCCUUCACCGGCUACCAAUUCCUGACAAACUCCGAAUGCUAUGAAAUGAUGUACAGCAGUGAGGGCAUGGGUGCUAAGGUCCAUGUCCGAGAGGGAAAGAACCCAGACCAUCAGCUAAGGUCCCCAAAUAUAUACUAAGUUGUUUAAACGUUGUGCGAUUGCAUAGACAGCUAGGAUGUUGGCUUGGAAGCAGCCAUUCAUUUAAAGAGUGCGUAACAGCUCACUAGUCGAGCGGUUCGGCAUGGAUAAUAAUCGGGCAUAAACAUACUACCGAAGCUAUGGAUUUGUAUUUAUACAAGUGGUAGGGGAGCAUUGUAGUGUCGUCGAAGGUGAAGCGUGAGCUUUGCUGGAGAAGCUACAAAAGAAAAUGUAGGCAUAAGUAACGAUAAUGCGGGCGAGAAACCCGCACUCCGAAAGACUAAGGUUUCCUCAGCUAUGCUAAUCAGCUGAGGGUUAGUCGGGACCUAACGCGAACCCGAAAGGGGUAGUGGAUGGACAACAGGUUAAUAUUCCUGUACCUGCUCACACUAAAAGUGACGGAGGCGAAAAGUUAGUGCGUACUGACGGAAUAGUACGUUGAAGCCAGUGGUAACACGGCAAUAGUACACUGAGGCUACGGUCAAGGUGAUAAUCUAGCAAAUCGACUUCCAAGAAAAGCGAGUGAAGCAGCCCGUACCCUAAACCGACACAGGUGGUUGGGAUGAGAAUUCUAAGGAGCUCGAGAGAUUCAUGGCUAAGGAACUAGGCAAAAUCGACGCGUAACUUCGGGAGAAGCGUCGCCCAUCUUCGGAUGGGCCGCAGUGAAGAGGUCCAGGCGACUGUUUAUCAAAAACACAGGGCUAUGCUAAAUCGAAAGAUGAUGUAUAUGGCCUGACACCUGCCCGGUGCCGGAAGGUUAAGAGGAGAUGUUAGCUUCGGCGAAGCAUUGAAUUGAAGCCCCAGUAAACGGCGGCCGUAACUAUAACGGUCCUAAGGUAGCGAAAUUCCUUGUCGGGUAAGUUCCGACCUGCACGAAUGGUGUAACGAUCUGGGCACUGUCUCAGCCAUGAGCUCGGUGAAAUUGUAGUAACGGUGAAGAUGCCGUUUACCCGCUGUGGGACGAAAAGACCCCGUGAACCUUUACUAUAGCUUAGUAUUGGCUUUGGAUAAGUAAUGUGUAGGAUAGGUGGGAGACUUUGAAGCGGCGUCGCCAGGCGUUGUGGAGUCAUUGUUGAAAUACCACCCUUUGCUUAUCUAGAGUCUAACUUUCACUGAAAGGACAGUGCUUGGUGGGUAGUUUGACUGGGGUGGUCGCCUCCAAAAGAGUAACGGAGGCUUCU